rnacentral:lncRNA from 1 species
CAGGCUUUUCUUGGCCUGGUAAAGAAAUGCCAGAGGAGCUUGCCUGUGUGCAUAAUGACACUUUCAGGAAUCAGUUGCUCCCCUAAACACAUCUGACGAACUAAGGUACUGCCUUUAACCAUUCAUGGGUACAUUAUAGAGGAAGAUGGAAGAUUUGUGUGUCACAAAGCUGAACCCUUGGGAAGGAAUAUACUGAAAAACAUUAGACCAUCUACUGAAGCUGCACCUGGGAAACUAAAGUUUACUUCAUUAAUUUCUCAUCUAGAAAAUUGUACCUUCUCACACCAUCUGAUGGAAAUAAAGUGUAUGUUGCUGGGAUCAGGUGCCUGAGAUCAAUAAUGAUAUGGUGAAUGUAAGCUAUUUUUGGUAAAUUUGCCUUUAUAAGAGAUGAGGCAAAUAAGUAAAAAAAAAAAAAAUAAAAAAAAUAAAAAAAGCUGGGAAUUUUCUUGA